GGUUAGCCAGCUGUAGGAGUCGAACCCACAUCUAUGUUGUUCCAGCCUCAGAACAUCAGUUCUUUCAUGUUCAACAGCUGCCGCCUGCGUCGAUCCCGUCGUAUCAAUGUGUGUAUGAGUGAGCAAAAAUGUAAGAGUGAAAGGAGGAUGAGUGAGAGAGAGUGGCUGGUUUGUCCCUUCAGAUGACGCACCCUGGAAGUCGCUGAGAAGGCGUGUUAGCUUAGCUCAAUUGGUAGAGCCCUGGACCGGCAAUCCAGAAGAUGUGGGUUAGACUCCUACAGCUGGCUAACCUUUUCAGUGACUUUCAUCUUUCAUCGUUAGAAAACGUGUUUUUGAGCCGAAGAAGUGCCUUUUUUUUCGCCAGAACUCCAAGAUCUUGACAGAAUAGAUCGGGAAAUAUGCAUCUCAGAGAUCGCAGAUGUUGCCAUUGAUUUGUCCGAGGGAAUAUCAUGGUCUAGAGCUGGAGCUGAAGCAGAGCUAUCCGAAAAAUGAGCAGGAGGGCUUUCAUGGGGGUUCUUAUUCUAUCUUUCAAGGUGGAAGGAGGGAAGGGUAAAUGGAACGCCACGGAAACACCGUUGUAUUGGGCGCUACCGAAGGACCUUUCAGUCUCCCAUAACAAAAUUAGCUUACCCAGGACCCAAUGAUCUUCAACACCAAUCACAAUGACUUUUUGUGUGUGUGUCUACCCCUGCAUGAAGUCCUUCAGAAAGUCACUUCUGAAUUUGAAGGUACGUAUUCACGAUAGCUUUUAGAAAACAUAAGGCAAUCGCGCAAGCUGUCAUCACACUGGUGUACUUGGAUCCAACAGUUUUCGUUAAGUGCGCCUGAUCUACUGAAGCUCGCUCUAUUCGUCUUGGGAGGCGCUCUGAGGUACCACUAUGGUAGACUAGUCCACCAUACUUGGGCGGUGAAGGACAAAAUACACAGUCUAGCCUGAUAGCAGUGGGAACACAAUAAGACCAGGGAAUGAAGCACUCUUCGAAUAAAAUUUCAAUAUUCACAAGCUUUCGUGCAGAACCUGCACUUCAAGUGAACACACAAAUCUGUAUUCAAAUUUGUGCCCAUCUUUACCUGAUGAAGUGCAGGUACUGCACUAAAGCUUGUGAACAUUAGAGUUUUAUUCCGAAGAGUGUUUCAUUCCCUGGACUCGAGUCCACCAUACAUUUUACACCACAUUUUACCUGUGCCACCUCUAAAAAAAAGGAGGGCUUGAUAUUUCAGCUGUAAUGACAUGUUGGUAAUCAUAUGCUACCACGUACCAAGCUUGGGGAUUCUGCAUAAACCACUGCAUUACUCUCUCAUGGUGCUAUGAUAUUUCAUUAGUUUACUUCCACAUAUAAAAAACUGGGAUCACCAUUUCCCAGAAC